UCUCGCCCUCACUCGCCCUCUCCCUCUCUCUCUCGCUCGCCCUCUCCCUCUCCCUCGCCCUCUUUCUCUCCCUCUCUCCCUCUCUCUCAAUCUCGCUGCCGUUCUCGUGGGCUCAACAGGUUGACAACCCUAAAAGGCCUCUCUCUCUCUCUCUCUCUCUCUCUCUCUCUCUCUCUCUCUCUCCUUCUGUCGAUCUCUCUUCCUCUCGAUCGGACUGGUAGCUACGCUCAACUGCAACAGCCCGGCCACAAUAUGGAUUGGGAAUGAACUGAAGGGCUCCUCCAUUGAACAAUCCCAACCAUCUAAUCAGUAUACUUGCCUCCUAUCACAUAUUAUGUGUUGAGCCUAUUGGUCAUAUUUCCAUUUUAAUUGUACAUUUACAGGAAAGUCAUUGACUGG